rnacentral:rRNA from 1 species
UAGGGAAUCUUCCGCAAUGGGCGAAAGCCUGACGGAGCAACGCCGCGUGAGUGAUGAAGGUCUUCGGAUCGUAAAUCUCUGUUAUUAGGGAAGAACAAAUGUGUAAGUAACUAUGCACGUCUUGACGGUACCUAAUCAGAAAGCCACGGCUAACUACGUGCCAGCAGCCGCGGUAAUACGUAGGUGGCAAGCGUUAUCCGGAAUUAUUGGGCGUAAAGCGCGCGUAGGCGGUUUUUUAAGUCUGAUGUGAAAGCCCACGGCUCAACCGUGGAAGGUCAUUGGAAACUGGAAAACUUGAGUGCAGAAGAGGAAAGUGGAAUUCCAUGUGUAGCGGUGAAAUGCGCAGAGAUAUGGAGGAACACCAGUGGCGAAGGCGACUUUCUGGUCUGUAACUGACGCUGAUGUGCGAAAGCGUGGGGAUCAAACAGG